rnacentral:tRNA from 1 species
UUUAAUGUGGCAGAUUAGUGCUUUGAAUUUAAGAUUCAAGUAUAGAACUUUUGUUCUCGUUAAAG